rnacentral:lncRNA from 1 species
GCUCAUUGAAUCUGUGGGGACAGAGUAAGUGCCUCUCAAUCAUAUUUUCAACACAUGACAACAUUUUCUUAUUAUACACAUGGCAAUCAUUUGAUUCUUUUGCAGAAACUGGAUCCUUCGCGGAAAUGGCCGUAAACCGAACGGCCUUAUCACUGUCAUGUUGAAGCACUUUUGGCCUGGCCUAUUCUGCCCGCGGCCAGACAGGGACCCGCAGCUGCGGGUUUUGGCCACGAGGUGGACCCACUACGAGGCUUGCAGCAACGCGGAGUACGGGACGGCCGCUAAGGCCGUGAUCACCAAAUUUUGGGUAAGUUCUCUUCUAAAUCACUUGUCUUCAGUUUCGUUCAUAGUUUAUCAUUGGAUCACUCAACUCAUGCCUUGUUUGCUUCUGGUUUAUGCAGCAACUCUAUAGAGUUCUUGACGAGCACAAGGCCAGAGCCGACGUGGUCUUGCUUGCGGCUGCGAAGAAGAAAGCUCGUCAGUUGCAGUACGAGGUGCGCUGGGUUGCCGUCUCGCAGUACUACCACUACUACCUGCACCAAAAGAUGACCAAAAGUCAAGCGCAGAAGCAGCGACUUACCUUGAACAGGGAGCAGUUCAUGAUGGUAACUAUUACUAACUUUUCAUUGUUUCAAGCAGUCAACUCUAUGUUUCGUGCUCACAUGUCAUGCUUCCAAAAUUUGCAUAGGUUGUUCCUCGUUGGUGCUAUGGAAGGCAUGACGGAUGGGCGAGUUUGGUGGAUAGGUGGCUCGGCACCGAUGCAGAGUUUGCUGCCAAGAGCAUCAAGGGCCGGGCUAACCGUGGAGCCGACGGGACACACGGCCAAGGAAACAGGAACCACUGGAGCUUCAAGGCCAUGAAGGUAUAUCUAUGUGCAUGAUGCAUUUUUGUUCUUCUUUACCGUCAUGUUCUUAUGUAUGGCUAACUUCUAUUUGACGUUGUAGGAGGACAAGUUGAA